CCUACGGGGUGGCUGCAGUGGGGAAUAUUGGACAAUGGGCGAAAGCCUGAUCCAGCCAUGCCGCGUGUGUGAAGAAGGCCUUCGGGUUGUAAAGCACUUUCAGUGGGGAAGAAAGCCUUGGGGCUAAUACCCUCGAGGAAGGACAUCACCCACAGAAGAAGCACCGGCUAACUCCGUGCCAGCAGCCGCGGUAAUACGGAGGGUGCGAGCGUUAAUCGGAAUUACUGGGCGUAAAGCGCGCGUAGGCGGUCUGAUAAGCCGGUUGUGAAAGCCCCGGGCUCAACCUGGGAACGGCAUCCGGAACUGUCAGGCUAGAGUGCAGGAGAGGAAGGUAGAAUUCCCGGUGUAGCGGUGAAAUGCGUAGAGAUCGGGAGGAAUACCAGUGGCGAAGGCGGCCUUCUGGACUGACACUGACGCUGAGGUGCGAAAGCGUGGGUAGCAAACAGGAUUAGAUACCCCUGUAGUC
rnacentral:rRNA from 1 species